rnacentral:rRNA from 2 species
AAUUAAGCACUCCGCCUGGGGAGUACGGCCGCAAGGCUGAAACUCAAAGGAAUUGACGGGGGCCCGCACAAGCGGUGGAGCAUGUGGUUUAAUUCGAAGCAACGCGAAGAACCUUACCAGGUCUUGACAUCCUCUGACAACCCUAGAGAUAGGGCUUCUCCUUCGGGAGCAGAGUGACAGGUGGUGCAUGGUUGUCGUCAGCUCGUGUCGUGAGAUGUUGGGUUAAGUCCCGCAACGAGCGCAACCCUUGAUCUUAGUUGCCAUCAUUUAGUUGGGCACUCUAAGGUGACUGCCGGUGACAAACCGGAGGAAGGUGGGGAUGACGUCAAAUCAUCAUGCCCCUUAUGACCUGGGCUACACACGUGCUACAAUGGACGGUACAAAGAGCUGCAAGACCGCGAGGUGGAGCUAAUCUCAUAAAACCGUUCUCAGUUCGGAUUGUCGGCUGCAACUCGCCUACC